rnacentral:tRNA from 2 species
AAACUUAGGCUAACAUA